rnacentral:rRNA from 1 species
CGCGUAGGUGGUAGUGUAAGUCUGGGGUGGAAUGCCGGGGCUUAACCCUGGAAUUGCCUUGGAAACUGCAUUACUUGAGUCAGUGAGGGGAGGGUAGAAUUCCUGGUGUAGCGGUGAAAUGCGUAGAUAUCAGGAGGAAGGCCUGUGGCGAAGGCGGCCCUCUGGUGCUGGACUGACACUGAGGCGCGAAAGCGUGGGGAGCAAACAGGAUUAGAUACCCUGGUAGUCCACGCCCUAAACGGUGGGCACUAGGCGUAGGGCUCGUAAGGGUUCUGUGCCGAAGGGAAACCAUUAAGUGCCCCGCCUGGGGAGUACGGCCGCAAGGUUGAA